AAUAGAUACCCCGGUAGUCCACGCCGUAAACGAUGAGUGCUAAGUGUUAGAGGGUUUCCGCCCUUUAGUGCUGCAGCUAACGCAUUAAGCACUCCGCCUGGGGAGUACGGUCGCAAGACUGAAACUCAAAGGAAUUGACGGGGGCCCGCACAAGCGGUGGAGCAUGUGGUUUAAUUCGAAGCAACGCGAAGAACCUUACCAGGUCUUGACAUCCCACUGACCGGUAUAGAGAUAUACCUUUCCCUUCGGGGACAGUGGUGACAGGUGGUGCAUGGUUGUCGUCAGCUCGUGUCGUGAGAUGUUGGGUUAAGUCCCGCAACGAGCGCAACCCUUGAUCUUAGUUGCCAGCAUUUAGUUGGGCACUCUAAGGUGACUGCCGGUGACAAACCGGAGGAAGGUGGGGAUGACGUCAAAUCAUCAUGCCCCCUAUGACCUGGGCUACACACGUGCUACAAUGGAUGGUACAAAGGGCUGCAAGACUGCGAAGUCAAGCCAAUCCCAUAAAACCNUUCUCAGUUCGGAUUGCAGG
rnacentral:rRNA from 1 species